UCGACAUAAGUCAAACGAAAUAGCUAUCGAUAUACUUAAUAUAUGUAAAAGUAUUUGCCAUAAACUCAAAUAUCCAAAGAGGAAAAUGGAGACAUAACAAAGAGUGUAAAACAAUGAAUAUAAUAGAAAUUCGGCUUCAUAAUAAUUUAUGCUUAGUUUUUUGGAAACAUAAAAAACAAAACUUUGGGAAUAAAUACAAUUAUUUUUAUUAAAGAAAAAGAUCGGGCCAGGGCGGAUCGGAGCGAGCCGUCACAUGGGCUUUCAGGAGCGCCACCCUCACAGGACCGCUCCGGAGCGUCCGGGCCAUCCGACACGUGUGUUAACGUAAUAAACUACGUUAACACUAUCGUUGAGACUCCGAGCCAGAGACGACCCGGGCGGGCCGAGACAGGCCGGGCCGGGCUGUCCGAGUUCACCGAGCCGUCCGAGCGACGGACUGUUCAUGACAAAUGUCACAAAUGUCAAUUAUAUUAUAUUUCAUUCAAUCAUGUUUGCUGCUCAAUAGAAAGAAAUAAUAAAAUGAAAAUAUUGGCACUGGCUUCCGUAAGCCAAGACACUUUCAAAGCCGUUCACGACAGAAUUAAAGACUGUUUGAGGAAACAAAAAACAAGAUUUCUGGAACCAAUUUCAAGUAAACACCGUCUGGCUCUCUGCUUAAGGAACCAACGAGAACCCGUCAGGUCUCUUCCCGUCAGAGCCACUGAGGCCCGAAGGUUCCAGCACGCACGGGACGUUUGCAGAACCUAGCGCUCUCCGCACGAUAGCAUUAAGCGCGUGGUGCCGUGCAAGGGGCACACCGACCACAACUCAACGUGUGAUGACCGUUGCUCUCCACCAUAGUACCGCAGAUGCAUGCGUGGGGUUCACACCCUGCACAGCCCAGCACAGCAACUGCAAUCCGCAAUCUGCGUCGAGUCGUUCUCAAGCAGUGUACCCAAAUGCGGAGAGGGAAGCGCGUGAAGCUACGCUCCAGACUCCGGCUUCGACACUGCGAGCACCCUCGCCCUGUCUACAUCCACCGCACCAAGCUACCUUAACCCCCACGUCAUCCCACAAACGCUGACGAUCCGAUCUCUCCGGCGCCGUUGCCUCAGGGUUGAGAGCCAGCCAAGCCUCCACAGCUUCCGCGGUAAAAGGUAUGGAUACUUUUAUCACCAUCUGGAGAUAAAAUUUGUGUGACAAGGUCCGACAAACAACGACCCCUGCUGCCGACGCCAGAAAGGCCGGCAAGCUAACGCCCCGUACUUAUUAUGUAUUUGCAGGUUUUUGACAACGGGAGAUUCUUUCAAAUUCAAAACCCUCUUUCGAAAAUUCCACUACUCGUAAUAUCGUCAGAGAAACAUGUCGGGCCAUUGUCGAUUGCAUGUUGACCGAGAUGAUGCCACAGCCUACCGAAGAGAUGUGAAAAACAUCGCUGACAAGUUUGAAAGGGCUGUGGCAUUUCCCAAAUUAUAUCGGAGCAUUGGACGGAAAACAUUUCUGCAUUGAAGCGCCAAGCUUAAGACUCCGGUUCGAAUCUAGCCUUUGCCACUGGAGGGCUUCUUCACAUUUUCUUUAAUACUUAAAUAAAAAAAUAUUUAUUUCAGAUGAAACGCGAUCCAUAUUUUGUUAGUAACAUUUUAGCCUUAACACUAUGAUUAGACCUACCAAUAACUACUUCUGUCCGGUACCUACUGAGCGGGCAGUCGAGGCGCUCGUCUAACGCCCUCAGCAUGCUGUUAGUGCUCCCGCGCACACGUCGUAGCAAUGACGCCAAACUCUUACGUCUAAUAAUGGCAUAAAAGUCGUCCGUUCGCGCCUCGGCGAACAUGCUCGACGCACUACAAUGCCUCGGCAGCCUUAACAGCAUCCUAAGGAUAUUAUUGUAUCGGACACGCAAAGUGUUGUAGGCCCUUAUAUACCCUCCUGACGAAUUGGUAUCAAAAUAUGAUAGUUUAAAUUCACUCUAUCUACUUGACGAAAAGUUAAAUUUUGAUUGAGGCUUAUAUACUACGUGUAGGACGACGGUCGUCAGGAGGAUAUGACAUGUAUUUCAAUUCAGAAGAAACAACUUUAGCUUUUCUGCAUUCGUGAACUUAGACCUAUUUAUCGAUUUCUUAAUAAAACAAAUGUUAAAACGCUC